UCAAAGUUUAUUUCCCCAGGUACGUGACCUUCAAAAUACAUUCCUUACAAUACCUGACAAUAGAUUCCAUUGUCUUACUAACUAUAACCAUUAACUCAUACUAAUUCUCAUUCGAACAGCUUUUCUUUUCCCUUGUUCAUGCCUGAGCCUCCAGGUCGAUCGUAGGUAACUGAAAACAUUUAGUUUAAGCAAGGAUGAGCAUUUGAGUGCCCAGCAAGUAAUAACAAUUAUAUAUAUAAGCUGAAAGAAUAUAAGUAUUCUCUUUACAUAACACUUCUACAACGAAUCAAAAGUUGUGAAGUAAUCUGUACUGAUAAAAGAUUCACAUAACAACUCUCUUUCAAUUUCUUGAAAUUAGGCUCCACCCAUGAAUAGGGUUUAAGAAACAUACUAUGAACAUUGUUUUUCAUUUUCGAAAAGGUUUAGCAGAAAUUCAUCCGCAAACCGUCAUAACUUACGGGCACGGAGGGUGAUCAGCCCCGUUGUACCCUGUAUUGAUCAAUACUACAUAACUUGAACGAAAUUCAUCGCUCACCCUUUGUCCGCCGAAGCGCAUAAAAAUUUUCCCAUUAUCGGGAUGUUCAUACAUGCCUGGUUCCAAACCCGAAGGUUUUUAAUCUUGCUCAACAAUAAUAUGUAAUUCAACAUAUAUGUAUACGGGUAAUUGACAAAGGUAUAUCAACAUGUGAAUAAAUGCCAUGAUUAUCCAAG
rnacentral:lncRNA from 1 species